GGGCCUUAGCGGUUCAGUGGGUGUCGGUGUUACCGAUUAUCAAGUGUCUACUGGCCUGCUAAGUCCCAA
rnacentral:precursor_RNA from 1 species